rnacentral:rRNA from 1 species
UACGGAGGAUCCAAGCGUUAUCCGGAAUCAUUGGGUUUAAAGGGUCCGUAGGCGGCCUCAUAAGUCAGUGGUGAAAUCUCCCCGCUCAACGGGGAAACGGCCAUUGAUACUGUGAGGCUUGAAUUAUUAGGAAGUAACUAGAAUAUGUAGUGUAGCGGUGAAAUGCUUAGAUAUUACAUGGAAUACCGAUUGCGAAGGCAGGUUACUACUAAUUGAUUGACGCUGAUGGACGAAAGCGUGGGUAGCGAACAGG